rnacentral:rRNA from 1 species
GGUACUCGCGAANNCCAUCUGGUUAAGAGUUUGAUCAUGGCUCACAUUGAACNUUNUGGCGGCAGGCCUAACACAUGCAAGUCGAACGGUAACAGGAAGCAGCUUGCUGCUUUGCUGACGAGUGGCGGACGGGUGAGUAAUGUCUGGGAAACUGCCUGAUGGAGGGGGAUAACUACUGGAAACGGUAGCUAAUACCGCAUAACGUCGCAAGACCAAAGAGGGGGACCUUCGGGCCUCUUGCCAUCGGAUGUGCCCAGAUGGGAUUAGCUAGUAGGUGGGGCAACGGCUCACCUAGGCGACGAUCCCUAGCUGGUCUGAGAGGAAGACCAGCCACACUGGAACUGAGACACGGUCCAGACUCCUACGGGAGGCAGCAGUGGGGAAUAUUGCACAAUGGGCGCAAGCCUGAUGCAGCCAUGCCGCGUGUAUGAAGAAGGCCUUCGGGUUGUAAAGUACUUUCAGCGGGGAGGAAGGCGAUAAGGUUAAUAACCUUGUCGAUUGACGUUACCCGCAGAAGAAGCACCGGCUAACUCCGUGCCAGCAGCCGCGGUAAUACGGAGGGUGCAAGCGUUAAUCGGAAUUACUGGGCGUAAAGCGCACGCAGGCGGUCUGUUC